rnacentral:lncRNA from 1 species
CUCACUGAAGGGGAGCUGUCUUGUCAUUUGUGGGGGUAAACUAUUCUAUGAACAUGUGCAAAUGGCCCUAAAUAAAUCUACACUCUAAAACUUUAUUGGUGUGAAAUUAACUUCUUACUGGCCAAAUGCCUGUUUGGAUGAGUUGGCUUGUUAUAAACAUUUUUGUUAAAGCUCAUGAUUUUUAAUAUUUAAUAGUGCAGUUCACAAACCAGUAGAAGGCCACAUGAAGAGAAUUACUGCAUCUUUGUUAACCCCAGCAGGUAUUUACUUUUUUCUUGUUUGCUUAGAGAUUUGGUCAUAAUCUGGUUGUAAUUUUGGCCCAAAUGUCUUUAUUCCUUUGAGAUAAAUUGAAUCAUGGAAAGUAGUUCUCCUCACAACAUGUAACAACACUGAAGUACUAACUUGGUGAUUCUACUGGAUGCAUGAU